rnacentral:lncRNA from 1 species
CGCGACCCGUGAUAAAAGCGGUCCGGUCUGACCCCUAGAACCGGGAAAAUCAGAAACCCGGUCCAAACAUAGAAAAUCCGGUUCAACCGGCCAAAACCGGUGAACCCGGAAACCGGUCAACAACCCCGGUUUUCAUCUUAAAUAUUACGUCCGGUGGCUGUUGGUGGCGGUGUACGGUCAGAAUUUGUUGGGGGUGGCUGGAACUGUGUAGAAUAGGCCGAGGUCGGCCAGAAAUCGACAGAUCUGGCCGUGGAUUUGCGAAUUUCGAUGGGAUUUAGUCCUGGUUUGCUGGAACAGGUUGUGUGUGUUUCUGGAUAUGUAGAAAAAAAAAAAAGUAAGAAGAUUGAAAAGAAGAAAAUGAAAUUAAUAGAAAAGGGAGAGAGAGAGAGAAGGCAGAUAUGGGGGAAAAAAAUAAUGGUGGGUAAAAGAGGGUGAUGGGUGGAAGUGAAUUGUGGAGAGAGAAAGUGUGGACUGGUGAAGAUGGCUGUAGUGAUGAGAAAAGAGGUGGAGA